AAUUUAAACAAUGUUGCAUUUCACACAUUCAACAUCAAACAAGGCAAACCUAUUCAAAGGCACAGGACUCUCACACAACUAUUUUUUUAAGUAGUUUGUACUUACAUGUUAGGUAAUCCUUCACAUUUAAC